AUUGAACGCUGGCGGCAGGCCUAACACAUGCAAGUCGAGCGAGCGGCGGACGGGUGAGUAAUGUGUGGGGUCUUCCCGAUAGAGGGGGAUAACUACUGGAAACGGUAGCUAAUAACGCAUACUAUCGGAUAACCCAUAGGGGAUUAGCUAGUAGGUGAGGUAAUGGCUCACCUAGGCGACGAUCCCUAGCUGGUCUGAGAGGAUGAUCAGCCACACUGGGACUGAGACACGGCCCAGACUCCUACGGAGGCAGCAGUGGGGAAUUUUGGACAAUGGGGGAAACCCUGAUCGAGCCAUGCCGCGUGUAUGAUGAAGGCCUUCGGGUCGUAAAGCACUGUUGGAAGAGAAGCGGUAUCUGCAGAGUAAGCACCGGCUAACUACGUGCCAGCCGCCGCGGUAAUUC
rnacentral:rRNA from 1 species